GCGNGAGGGAGGAAGGCUCUGGGUCGUAAACUCUUUUCUCUGGGAAGAUAAUGACGGUACCAGAGGAAUAAGCAUCGGCUAACUCCGUGCCAGCAGCCGCGGUAAUACGGAGGAUGCAAGCGUUAUCCGGAAUGAUUGGGCGUAAAGAGUCCGUAGGUGGUUGUGAAAGUCUGUGGUUAAAGCGCGAAGCUCAACUUCGUAAAGGCCAUGGAAACUAUGCGACUAGAGUGAGAUAGGGGUAGAGGGAAUUCUUGGUGUAGCGGUGAAAUGCGUAGAUAUCAAGAAGAACACCGGUGGCGAAAGCGCUCUACUGGAUCUUAACUGACACUGAGGGACGAAAGCUAGGGGAGCGAAAGGGAUUAGAUACCCCUGUAGUCCUAGCCGUAAACGAUGUACUAGUUGUUGCGGUAUCGACCCCUCAGUGACGAAGCUAACGCGUUAAGUAUCCCGCCU
rnacentral:rRNA from 1 species